GUCCCUUAGGGAUAGCUCAGUCGGUAGAGCAUGAGACUGUUAAUCUCAGGGUCGUGGGUUUGAACCCCAUGUUGGACA